AGAAGAAAGAGGCGAUCGAAGCGACAACCCAACGCACAUGAUGAACGAUUGACCUGUGUGUGGCUCCGGAUAUGUGCAUUGCCCGAUCAACGUGCAGCUCCUAGACUUGCGAAUAUGGUGGGGGUAGAAAGAAAAAGAGAGAGAGAAAAAGAGAAAGAGAGAGGGAGAGAGAAGAGGAAGAAGAAGAAGAAGAAGAAAAA
rnacentral:lncRNA from 1 species